UAAAGGUCGCGUUGCCACUACUAAGCCGUUCAUGUUCUAGGGGGAAGCCCUCAACUCUAUGAACUUAUUUUCCAGCGGGAUUCAGAGACACCUGACCUGCUACUGAUCUCACUGAAUGGUCAUUAUCAUGUGCUCACACUGUCCUGUUAGGAGGCUAACAUAUCUAAUACUGCAGUUCACAGACAGUGUGUUGCAUGGUACUAUUGUUACAACAAUUCUCAAUUGCUUCAGUCAACAGCCUCCAAAGUUGCAAACACAAAAAAGCAAGAGGUGUAUUCAGUCUGCAAACCAUGGUAUGAUGAAUGAGAAGUGACUCAAAAAUAUGAAUGACAAUUCAUUAAGCCUAUGGAAGAAAACACAUAGAAGAAGAAGAGAAAAAAAAAUCAUGCUAACAGGAUCCUCUACUUCUGGAACUCUUGACUCACUGCUCAUCAGACUUUCCUCUGAAAAUCACAGGCUUCCUGUGA